rnacentral:rRNA from 1 species
AUUGAACGCUGGCGGCAGGCCUAACACAUGCAAGUCGAGCGAGCGGCGGACGGGUGAGUAAUGUAUGGGGACUGCCCGAUAGAGGGGGAUAACUACUGGACACGGUGGCUAAUACCGCAUACUAUCGGAUAACCCAUAUGGGAUUAGCUAGUGGGUGGGGUAAAGGCUCACCUAGGCGACGAUCUCUAGCUGGUCUGAGAGGAUGAUCAGCCACACUGAGAUUGAGACAGGGCCCAGGCUCCUACGGAGGCAGCAGUGGGGAAUAGUGAACAAUGGGAGAAAGCCUGAUGCAGCCAUGCCGAGUGUAUGAAGAAGGCCUUAGGGUUGUAAAUUACUUUCGGCGGGGAGGCGUUACCGGCAGAAGAAGCACCGGCUAACUCCGUGCCAGCAGCCGCGGUAAUAC